GUCGUAACAAGGUCUCCGUAGGUGAACCUGCGGAGGGAUCAUUACAAGAACGCCCGGGCUUCGGCCUGGUUAUUCAUAACCCUUUGUUGUCCGACUCUGUUGCCUCCGGGGCGACCCUGCCUUCGGGCGGGGGCUCCGGGUGGACACUUCAAACUCUUGCGUAACUUUGCAGUCUGAGUAAACUUAAUUAAUAAAUUAAAACUUUUAACAACGGAUCUCUUGGUUCUGGCAUCGAUGAAGAACGCAGCGAAAUGCGAUAAGUAAUGUGAAUUGCAGAAUUCAGUGAAUCAUCGAAUCUUUGAACGCACAUUGCGCCCCCCGGUAUUCCGGGGGGCAUGCCUGUUCGAGCGUCAUUUCACCACUCAAGCCUCGCUUGGUAUUGGGCAACGCGGUCCGCCGCGUGCCUCAAAUCGUCCGGCUGGGUCUUCUGUCCCCUAAGCGUUGUGGAAACUAUUCGCUAAAGGGUGUUCGGGAGGCUACGCCGUAAAACAACCCCAUUUCUAAGGUUGACCUCGGAUCAGGUAGGGAUACCCGCUGAACUUAAGCAUAUCA
rnacentral:rRNA from 1 species